rnacentral:rRNA from 1 species
AUUGAACGCUGGCGGCAGGCCUAACACAUGCAAGUCGAACGGUAACAGGAAGAAGCUUGCUUCUUUGCUGACGAGUGGCGGACGGGUGAGUAAUGUCUGGGAAACUGCCUGAUGGAGGGGGAUAACUACUGGAAACGGUAGCUAAUACCGCAUAACGUCGCAAGACCAAAGAGGGGGACCUUCGGGCCUCUUGCCAUCGGAUGUGCCCAGAUGGGAUUAGCUUGUUGGUGGGGUAACGGCUCACCAAGGCGACGAUCCCUAGCUGGUCUGAGAGGAUGAACAGGCAAACUGGAACUGAGACACGGUCCAGACUCCUACGGGAGGCAGCAGUGGGGAAUAUUGCACAAUGGGCGCAAGCCUGAUGCAGCCAUGCCGCGUGUAUGAAGAAGGCCUUCGGGUUGUAAAGUACUUUCAGCGGGGAGGAAGGGAGUAAAGUUAAUACCUUUGCUCAUUGACGUUACCCGCAGAAGAAGCACCGGCUAACUCCGUG